GUCGAACGGUGAAAGCGGAGCUUGCUCCGCUGGAUCAGUGGCGAACGGGUGAGUAACACGUGGGCAACCUGCGCCUCACUUCGGGAUAACUCCGGGAAACCGGGGCUAAUACCGGAUAUGACCUCCUUGGGCAUCCUUGGAGGUGGAAAGUUUUUCGGUGAGGGAUGGGCCCGCGGCCUAUCAGCUUGUUGGUGAGGUAGUGGCUCACCAAGGCGACGACGGGUAGCUGGUCUGAGAGGAUGAUCAGCCACAUUGGGACUGAGACACGGCCCAAACUCCUACGGGAGGCAGCAGUGGGGAAUAUUGGACAAUGGGCGCAAGCCUGAUCCAGCAAUGCCGCGUGAGUGAUGAAGGCCUUAGGGUUGUAAAGCUCUUUUACCAGGGAUGAUAAUGACAGUACCUGGAGAAUAAGCUCCGGCUAACUCCGUGCCAGCCGCCGCGGUAA
rnacentral:rRNA from 1 species